UUGGAGUCUGCAACUCGACUCCAUGAAGUCGGAAUCGCUAGUAAUCGUAGAUCAGAAUGCUACGGUGAAUACGUUCCCGGGCCUUGUACACACCGCCCGUCACACCAUGGGAGUGGGUUGCAAAAGAAGUAGGUAGCUUAACCUUCGGGAGGGCGCUUACCACUUUGUGAUUCAUGACUGGGGUGAAGUCGUAACAAGGUAACCGUAGGGGAACCUGCGGUUGGAUCACCUCCUUA
rnacentral:rRNA from 1 species